UCUUCAGCUACUUACCUUUACUCUUACUUGUUAGCUUGAGCCUGUCAUCUAUCACUCCUACUCUUAAACAACUCUCUGGAAGUCGCGGACCUCUCCAAAACACAUACAAUGUCUUAAAGAAUACAAAUCUACCAGUCAGAAUAGGAUAAAGAAGUAGGAACUCGCCUAGUGCCCAACAGACUAAAGCGCAUAACUAAGGCUUUCGCUAUACUUAUAUAAAACCUACCGUUCUUAAGCUACUGAUCCCAAGGCUCUCUACUGACUUUUAGUCCCGUACAGCUUCUUUCACUCUUUAACUACAGCUUUAAAGCCUUUGAACUUAUAAGUAAUAAUA
rnacentral:lncRNA from 1 species